CGAUGCCACGUGGAAAGCCGAAGUACACAGGCGGGAUUCCAAGCUGGGAUCCGGCCUGGAUCUGCUUUUCAGGACGCCAUUGCUGCUGACCAGUCUUCUCACCAGGCCUAUGUGUCUGGCGAGCCCCAGGGCAUACAAGCCCAGGGUGAGGUCUGCCUCCUCAAUGAAGCCUGUCCCACCUGCCCAGGCUCCCAGCUUGUUCUCUGAGCCUCUCCAGGGGCUUCUGGAUUUACCCCUCAUCUAGCCUUUAACAUAGACGAGUGUUUGGCCAGAACAGACGCAGGGACACCCCUUCUCCCAGCCUCUGGCCACUCUCCUGCAUCUUAUCUAGUCACCACCUUCAGAACCACCUCCGGGACCAGCAACACACUGUUUGUUUGUUUUUCUACCUUAACUCCUUACUGCCGAACAACCAUGAGCUCCCAAAUUCAUCAGAAUUAUUCCACCCAGGUGGAGGCUGCGUUCAACCGCGGGGCCAGCCUGCAUCUGCGGGCCUCGCACACCUACCUCUCUCUGGGCUUCUGUUUCCACCAACGAUGUGGCUCUCGGGGCGUGGGCCACUUCUUCCGGGAGUUGGCGGAGAAGCCAAGGGUGCUGAGCGUCCCUUAAAGUUGCAAAACCAGCGUGGUGUCCGCAUUCUCCUCCAGGACCUGCUGAAGCCUCCCCAAGGUGAGUGGGCAAAACUCAGGGCGCCAUGGGAGCUGCCCUGGCUUAGAGAGGAACCUGAACCAGGCCCUUGUGGAGCUGCCGGCCCUGGGUUCUGCCCGCAGGCUCUCACCUCUGUGACUUCCUUGAGAACCACUUCCUGGGUGAGGAGGUGAAACUUAUCAAGAAAAUGGGCGACACCUGGCCAGCCCCCAGGCUGGGCUGGGCUUACCCUCAAGCAUGACUUUGGAGCCGAGGCCUUUGAGGAGCCCCUCUGCGUUCCCCUAGUGUCUGCCUUUUGCCUGAGCUUCUACCUGAAACUACUAGUCAUUCUUUUAACC